UGGGGAUAUUGCACAAUGGCGGCAACUCUGAUGCAGCAACGCCGCGUGAGGGAAGAAGGUCUUCGGAUUGUAAACCUUUGUCCUUGGUGACGAAACAAAUGACGGUAGCCAAGGAGGAAGCUCCGGCUAACUGCGUGCCAGCAGCCGCGGUAAUACGUAGGGAGCAAGCGUUGUCCGGAUUUACUGGGUGUAAAGGGUGCGUAGGCGGCUCUGCAAGUCAGGCGUGAAAACUAUGGGCUUAACCCAUAGACUGCGUUUGAAACUGUGGGGCUUGAGUGAAGUAGAGGUAGGCGGAAUUCCCGGUGUAGCGGUGAAAUGCGUAGAGAUCGGGAGGAACACCAGUGGCGAAGGCGGCCUACUGGGCUUUAACUGACGCUGAAGCACGAAAGCAUGGGGAGCAAAC
rnacentral:rRNA from 1 species